AGCUUGCACUCUGGACUUAUGGGCUCUACUGGGCUUCACUUAGGAGCAUGACAAGCAGGAGGACAGCACUGAAGCAUAUUAACACUCUCCAACCUUAAGUCUGCUUUCUCUAAGCAGCAUAGACUAUUUUUAAGUGGACACCUAUGGCAACCCUGGAUACCUGUGAGACAUCACCUCACUCCCUGCCCCUGAGGAUGCUGGUGAUCCAGGUGUGAUAAAAUGGUCUCUUGGACUUUACUAAGUUGCUAUUGCUGGAGAUUAACUUUGCCCUGUCAACCUCCAGGGUUUCUCCCCUGUGCUUCAAGCAAAGCUCAGCCAAGCUGAGGAAUCAAACUGUGUCAAACAAGGCUGCAGCAGGGGGUAUGAGGUUGACUAUGGCUCUGGAGUUGAGCAACAGAAGUGGAGGGAAGUUGGCAACAAGAGAAAGAUUGUUUUCAGAGGAAGAGACAGGGAAGCCGUGAGGCAGGGAGUCAGGAGAUGCAGGUGGCAUGGAGAUGUAGGAGAGGAAGGCAGGCACAGAAAAUUAGAGGACAACAUGUACUGUGACUUGACUUGCAGGGUGAUCACAAGCAUUGGACAUGAUAAAAAUACAGCUUUUGAAGAAACAGAGAAGAGUUGGGGAGGAUUUGGCUGAGAGACACUGGGUGAUUGUUCUAGAUAGAGACAAAUUACACAUGGUAUUGUCUUCUUUGUGCUUAAUUUUUAAUGAUGUUGUGGGCACUACACAAAUUGUUAGAAAAGCUGGUAAGAAACUAAAUCAAGAUUUGACUUUCAAGUGCACCACUGACCCACAGACUUUGCGUGUCCUUGGGCAAAAUGCUGUCUCCUUUUUUUUCUUCCUCUCACUGCUUCAUCUGUAAAACCGAGAUAACACUACUUCUUUUAUCACAACCUAUUUACAUAAUAAAAGCCUUUCCAUGCA